CAGCAGCCGCGGUAAUACGAAGGGUGCAAGCGUUAAUCGGAAUUACUGGGCGUAAAGCGUGCGUAGGCGGUGAGUUAAGUCUGCUGUGAAAUCCCCGGGCUCAACCUGGGAAUGGCAGUGGAUACUGGCUCGCUAGAGUGUGUCAGAGGAUGGUGGAAUUCCCGGUGUAGCGGUGAAAUGCGUAGAGAUCGGGAGGAACAUCAGUGGCGAAGGCAGCCCCCUGGGCCAAUACUGACGCUCAUGCACGAAAGCGUGGGGAGCAAACAGGAUUAGAUACCCCUGUAGUCCCUGUCUCUUAUAC
rnacentral:rRNA from 1 species